rnacentral:rRNA from 1 species
GACGAACGCUGGCGGCGUGCUUAACACAUGCAAGUCGAACGGAAAGGCCCCUUUGGGGGUACUCGAGUGGCGGACGGGUGAGUAACACGUGAGUAACCUGCCCUUGACUUCGGGAUAACUUCAGGAAACUGGGGCUAAUACCGGAUAGGAAUCCUUGCUGCAUGGUGGGGGUUGGAAAGCUUCGGCGGUUUUGGAUGGACUCGCGGCGUAUCAGCUUGUUGGUGGGGUAGUGGCUUACCAAGGCUUUGACGGGUAGCCGGCCUGAGAGGGCGACCGGCCACAUUGGGACUGAGAUACGGGCCAGACUCCUACGGGAGGCAGCAGUGGGGAAUAUUGCACAAUGGGCGGAAGCCUGAUGCAGCAACGCCGCGUGCGGGAUGACGGCCUUCGGGUUGUAAACCGCUUUCAGCAGGGGCGAAGCUUGUGGUGACGGUACCUGCAGAAGAAGCACCGGCUAACUACGUG